CUAAACUUUUCAAAGGUUUGACCCCAGCAAAUUAAAGUUAAAAUUUUUACAUCAGUUUCAGGUAAAAUUUGCAUAAUAAAGUAAUUAUUUUUGUGAAAUGAUAACCAUUUUUGUAAAAUACAGUCAAUUUACAUACAAUUUGUUUGCGAAAUUUGCUUUAGAAAACGCCAGAAAUUCAGUCCUAGAGCUUUGAAAAUGUAAAAAUUUUCUGGAGAAGGACCCCCAGACCCCCCUUUUCUCCCAAAACUUAGUAUAAGAGUGCCAAUCAAUCACAAAAAGCUUUAUUAUAAUUAUUACACGUAUAAUCCCCA